GUCUAUGGCCAUGCCACCCUGAACAAGCCCAGUGUCAGAUCUUGGAAGGUAAGCAGGAUCGAGCCUGGUUAGUACUUGGAUGGGAGACCACCUAGGAAGACCGAGUGCUGUAGGCA
rnacentral:rRNA from 1 species